rnacentral:rRNA from 1 species
AUGUGAAAGCCCCGGGGCUCAACCUCGGAAUUGCAUUUGAAACUGGCAGACUAGAGUACUGUAGACGGGGGUAGAAUUUCAGGUGUAGCGGUGAAAUGCGUAGAGAUCUGAAGGAAUACCGGUGGCGAAGGCGGCCCCCUGGACAAAGACUGACGCUCAGAUGCGAAAGCGUGGGGAGCAAACAGGAUUAGAUACCCUGGUAG